CCUGACCCAGAUGUUAGAUAUGAAUACCAAUCGCUUCCUUCAUUCGUUUUAACGGUGACGCGCUCCUUAAAGAACAUGAUGUAAUCAAAUUACGAUUUCUUCAAUCGACUCCCUCGUAAAGCUCCACUACUACACAGGAUUACAUAAAUUAACGUAUUUCGGUCGACAGUUGUGCGUUUGGCAGUCGGCCAGCUCUCGCAUCGAACUAACUACACUGCAAAAUAAGAACCAUGGAACAAGGCUACAAGGCAGCACGACGAUUGAUUAUGUAACAGGUAGCUAACGGGUGUGGGCAACAAAUGUGUCUAUUAUGCUGUUGAUAUCGUCACAACAACUGGAGGGCUUUGUGACACCGCGUGGUCAACAAGAAACGUCUUCAGUGUGUCAGAUGCAGACGUACCUAAUUUCCCACCACAGCGAGUGACAGUGUCUUAGGAUAAUUAGGUUCACAACCCUGAGCUACUGAUAUUCUUGAUGGACUUAAUGUCCUCAAUGUGCAAAUUAUGGUAAUUCCUAAGGUGUCGCUCUAAUUCUUCAGGGAGGACGUGCAUUUUUCAGUUUGAAAAAUUACUCCAUCGAGUUCAUGUUGACAUUUGAAAGAAUUAUUUGGCGCACUGGCCUACCGGUGGGAACAAUGUUCUCUUUUGGAGCACGGUCAUUGCAGUUCAGUAGUCGAAUAGUAGAAAGUAGGGAUGUAACGGACAAAGCUGACCGGUCAAUUUAUCGUAAUUUUACACGUAAAUUACACCCACUGACCGAAGGCCAAUUACUGACCAUUUUUGGUCAGAAAAAAAGUGAUGAGAUUUCGUGUCACAAAAAUGGCAAAAAAAUCUUGGCAGUCACAUUACAUCUAGUCGAAUUUUCUCCCCCUAAUUAGUUCCACAUUCGCGAGAGCGACAGCUUUCGCAUUGAAGAAGAAAGUUGCAGUUGAUAUUUCUGAGGAUCAUGACGGUUAAGGAACAGAAGAUGAUGAUUUAAAAGAGGAGAAGGAUUGUGAAUCAAGUGCUGGCAAAAGCAAUCAGAUCGAAGAUCCUGAAAAUGUCGAAGUCGAUGACCAGGAACCACUGUUUUUCCCAAGUCUCUGACGUCAGCUAACGACUGUUCAAUGUAGUUAAAAAAUAUUUAAGAUUCCAAACUUCUUUAAUUAGUUCUUAAAUGAAAAGCUUUACGACAUCGCUUCUGCAAUGAAAAGUUGUAUUCGACUGUUUUUCUGUCAUUCAACUUUGUGGAUUCUACAAUAAUAAUAAAUAAAAUAAGUUCUACGAAA